rnacentral:rRNA from 1 species
UAGGGAAUAUUAGAAAUGGACGAAAGUCUGAUCUAGCAACACCGCGUGUGCGAAGAAGGCCUUCGGGUUGUAAAGCACUUUUUGGAAGGAUUAGGAAGGAAUGUACUUCCAGAAUAAGUCUCGGCUAACUACGUGCCAGCAGCCGCGGUAACACGUAGGAGGCAAACGUUAUCCGGAUUUACUGGGCGUAAAGCGCGUGUAGGUGGUUCUGUAAGUAGGGCGUGAAAGCUCCUGGCACAACUGGGAGAGGCCGUUCUAAACUGCAGAGCUAGAGGAUGGUAGAGGGAGGUUGAAUUCCGGGAGUAGCGGUAGAAAUCGCAGAUAUCCGGAGGAAAACCAGUGGCGAAAGCGGCCUCCUGGACCAUUCCUGACACUCAGACGCGAAAGCUAGGGUAGCAAACGG